AAAGGAUGUGGAGUUGCUGAGACAACCAGGAGGUUGGCUUAGAAGCAGCCACCCUUGAAAGAGUGCGUAAUAGCUCACUGGUCAAGUGAUUCCGCGCCGACAAUGUAGCGGGGCUCAAGCACACCGCCGAAACCGUGGCAUUCAGGAGUAGUCCUGGAUGGGUAGGGGAGCGUCGUGUACGAGGUGAAGCCAGGGCGGAAGCGUUGGUGGAUUGUACACGAGUGAGAAUGCAGGCAUGAGUAGCGUGUGACGGGUGGGAAUCCCGUCCGCCGAUUAUCCAAGGGUUCCAGGGUCAAGUUUGUCUGCCCUGGGUGAGUCGGGUCCUAAGGCGAGGCCGACAGGCGUAGUCGAUGGGUAACCAGUUGAUAUUCUGGUACCGGCUUGUCACCGUCCGUGUCGAGGUGUGUGAUGCUAAGCAUGUGAGCUUGUCUUGGGAGUGUUUUUGAUGCUUCUGGGGUGGGUGAGUGUGUGAACCGAUCAUGUAGUAGGCAAGCUGCGGAGGGACGCAGUGAGGUAGCUCAUCCCCGGUGAUGGUUGUCCGGGGCUAAGUGUGUGGACUGUCUGGUAGGUAAAUCCGCUGGGCGUGAAGGUUGAGGCAUGAUGGGGAGCCCACGGUUGUGGGUGAGUGAGUGAUCCUGUACUGUCGAGAAAAGCUUCGUGAGCGAGGUGGCGGGUCCGCCCGUACCCUAAACCGACACUGGUGGAUAGGUAGAGUAUACCGAGGCGAUCGAGUGAAUCGUGGUGAAGGAACUCGGCAAAAUGCCCCCGUAACUUUGGGAUAAGGGGGACCUGA
rnacentral:rRNA from 1 species